AUUGAACGCUGGCGGCAUGCCUUACACAUGCAAGUCGAACGGCAGCGGACCUUCGGGUGCCGGCGAGUGGCGAACGGGUGAGUAAAGUAUCGGAACGUACCUUUCAGUGGGGGAUAACUGUCCGAAAGGACAGCUAAUACCGCAUAUUCUGUGAGCAGGAAAGCAGGGGAUCGCAAGACCUUGCGCUGAUUGAGCGGCCGAUAUCAGAUUAGCUAGUUGGUGAGGUAAAGGCUCACCAAGGCGACGAUCUGUAGCGGGUCUGAGAGGAUGAUCCGCCACACUGGAACUGAGACACGGUCCAGACUCCUACGGGAGGCAGCAGUGGGGAAUUUUGGACAAUGGGCGCAAGCCUGAUCCAGCCAUGCCGCGUGAGUGAAGAAGGCCUCGG
rnacentral:rRNA from 1 species